rnacentral:rRNA from 1 species
CACCAAGGUGACGAUGCGUAGCCGAACUGAGAGGUUGAUCGGCCACACUGGGACUGAGACACGGCCCAGACUCCUACGGGAGACAGCAGUUAGGAAUAUUCGUCAAUGGGGGAAACCCUGAACGAGCAAUGCCGCGUGAGUGAUGAAGGUCUUUGGAUUGUAAAACUCUGUUGUAUGGAAAAAAUGGCUAGGUUAGGAAAUGAACUUAGUUUGAUGGUACCAUACCAGAAAGCCCCGGCUAACUAC